ensembl:lncRNA
AUGACAGUGUUGAAAUCCCACCUCUUCUCCCUUCCAUCCAGAUGUCACCUUGGAGAGGAGCCAGAAAAGGAGCCAGGAGAAUGGAACCAUGAUGAGUGCGAGAGAAUAAUCACUGUUGAACUCUGGCCAAGGCACCAAGCUGAACUUUGCAUCACGACACUUCCCAUCUUUAAGCAGCCCUGUGAGAUGAGAAAACUGAGGCCUGGAGAUGGGAAGGGACCUCCGAGGCACAUCAGCAGGUCAGUGGUAGGAACCACACUAGACCCUAAGCGUUCCUAUUCCUUGUCCAUUUACCUUUCGGCUCAGACUUGCUAUUGUUCAGCUAUUGUUUUAGGAAAGGAAAACAAAUUUCAUGUGAAAUGAUUUAAAAACUUUCAGACUCUUCCUUAGUUGCACAACCAAAAAUUCGAUUUUAUUUACAAGUGUUAUUUUUUAAGGCUUUUAAGACUUCCAGUGAUACAUUUAUUUCAUUACUGAAUUGGCACUGUGCAGUUACUCCAAAUUCAUCUGAUUCAUCAAACUUUCAACACUCUUUGACACAGGGACUGUAUUGUACUGAGAUUUCAUUGUCCUGAAACAGCCAGAAAUGUUGAUAUGUGAUCAAAGAGAAGUAUCUGUUCAGAAGCCAGGUUUUCUGAUUCUAAUUCCAGUGCCCUGGCUCAUAGGCUGUAUUAGACAAUGUUAUAUAUUUUUUUAACUGAUUAACGUGAUAGCUGUAAUUAGCCAGCACAUUUAACUUUGUCCUGCGUGUAUUAACCCAUCUAAUCCUGAGAACAGUCCCACGAGGUAGAUAUUGUUAUCAUUCCUAUUUUACAGAGAUAUUCACCAGGGAUAUAUUGGUAAUAGUAAGCACUUACAUUGUCCAAUUUUUGUAAAGGUUUAUUUUCUACUUUUAACCCUUGAAUUGUCUACUCUCCAUGGGGUCCCCUCAUGUCCCAAGACAUUUGUAUACUACAGGUCAGCAAUGCAUGAGGCCUCUGUUAAGAUGCUUUGAGAGCAAUUAAUUGAACACCUUAAGAAGCAGGCAGUUCCCCAUUUGCAGUAACAGGGAUGGACCUAGAGGUUAUCAUACUAAGUGAAGUAAGUCAGACAGUGAAAGACAAACAUCAUAUAUCACUUAUAUGUGGAAUCUAAAAAAGAGAUACAAAUGAACUUAUUUAUGAAACAGAAAUAGAUCCACAGACAUAGGAAACAAACUUAUGGUAACCAAAAGGAAGAAGGGAGGGGGGUAUAAACUGGGAAUUUGGGAGCAACAGAUAUGCACUACUAUAUAUAAAAUAGAUAAAAACAAAGACUUACUGUAUAGCACAGGGAGCUCUAUUCAGUAUCUUUUAAUAACUUAUAAUGGAAAAGAAUCUGAAAAAGACUAUAUAUAUAUACAUAUAUGUAUAUAAAACUGAAUCAUUUUGCUGUACACUUGAAACAUUGUAAAUCAACUAUACUUCAGUAAACAAAAGAUGUUGGCAGUUCCAGGCUGGUUUAGGGACCAAACCCCAAAACCAAACCAAACCAAAAUGCCAAAACCAAGCCAGCCUCUUUCCACCUCUCUGCUCCUCUUCCCUCAGAACACUGGCUUUUGUUUUCAGGCUCAUUGCCUUAUGACUUAAGUUGAGCUACCUCAGCUUCAGUUCUCACAUGACUAUUUUCAAAGGUAGGAAGCAAGGAUGGCCCAGAGAUGUGAGCGUAUCAUCUCUCUCUCAGUAAGUUUCUCCAUGUAGAUCACCAAAUGGAACAAGUCACAAGCAGUGUAUAGAUGUCAGCAUGAAAAGGUGAGAAGGAAAUGCCUGUCCGUAUUCAAGUAACAGUUUCCAUCACAUAUGAUACAUCGCUAGUGGAUACUUAUCUUUUAAUCUAGGCUUCAGGGGCUAAUCUGAGACAUUCCAUUUAUUUAAUUCUUGGAACAAGGUGGGGAAGUUGUUGAGUCCCAGGAUGGAAUUUUAGGAGCUAAAUGUGGUUACUUUGAACUUUGAGAUAUCAUAAUUCUACAAUCAGGCAAUGCCUGGUAUAUCAGGGUGCCUUCCGCUGUGUGGAACAGCCACCUUUCCUGUGAAGGUUUGUAAGAGUUGAGUACCACCUCUGGUCUGUGUCCUGUAGUUUCUUUCAGCUGGAGAGGAAAGGUAGAAGAAAGGGGCCGCAUUCAUUAAAGUAAAUAAAAUGAUAUUCAUUUCAUGCA